CCUUACGAAUUUGAAUAUAUCCUAAAACUUUACGUUCCAAUAAAGUUAAAAAUGCAACUCCCACUAAUACCCCAAUUACUAAAAAUAAAAAAACUAAAAAUAUUAAAAUUAAAUCAAUUAUUAUUUGUAUAUAAAUACAUAAAAAGAUUCUAAAUCUAUCGCACUAUUCUGCCAAAAUAAUAAUUUUAUUCAAUAAAGAAAUUAUUAAUUAUAAAUUUGGUCCUUUCGUACUAAAAUUUAUUAAUUAUAUAAAGAUAGAAACCAACCUGGCUCACACCGGUUUAAACUCAGAUCAUGUAAAGUUUUAAUGGUCGAACAGACCAAAUUAUCAAGCUUCUACACCUAAUAUUAACUUUAAUCCAACAUCGAGGUCGCAAUCUCUUUUUUCGAUUUGAACUCUAAAAAAAAAUAACGCUGUUAUCCCUAAGGUAAUUUAAUCUUGUAAUCAUUUAUAUGGAUCAAAUUUUCAUGAAUUUAUGUUUAAAUUUAAAAAAAGUUAUUUAAAUUUUUUAAUCACCCCAAUUAAAUUUUAACUAAAAUAAUAAUUAAAAAAUUCUAAAAAUUAAAAUUUCAAUUAAAAUUAAACUCUAUAGGGUCUUCUCGUCUAUUAUAAAAAUUUAAGCUUUUUAACUUAAAAAUAAAGUUCUUAAAAAAUUAAACAUAGAAAGUUAUUUUUUCAUCAAACCAUUCAUACAAGCUUUCAAUUAAAAAACUAAUGAUUAUGCUACCUUUGCACAGUCAAAAUACUGCGGCCCUUCAAUUACUCAGUGGGCAGGCCCUACUUUAAAUUAUGAUCAAAAAGAGAUGUUUUUGUUAAACAGGCG
rnacentral:rRNA from 1 species